rnacentral:rRNA from 1 species
CAGUAGCCACGGUAAUACGUAGGUGGCAAGCGUUGUCCGGAAUUAUUGGGCGUAAAGGGCUCGCAGGCGGUUUCUUAAGUCUGAUGUGGAAGCCCCCGGCUCAACCGGGGAGGGUCAUUGGAAACUGGGAAACUUGAGUGCAGAAGAGGAGAGUGGAAUUCCACGUGUAGCGGUGAAAUGCGUAGAGAUGUGGAGGAACACCAGUGGCGAAGGCGACUCUCUGGUCUGUAACUGACGCUGAGGAGCGAAAGCGUGGGGAGCGAACAGGAUUAGAUACCCCGGUAGUCCCUGUCUCUUAUAC